ACUCACUUUGUUCUAUCUCUUUGUGUUUUUCAUUUGUUUUUUUAAAAAGAAAGAAAGAAAAAGAGUAGAGGAAUCGUAGGUCUAGGUGUUUAAUUGAAAUUAUUUGCUGAGUUUUUAAAUUAGCUUAAUUAGGUUGGGUUAGCUCAUUAAUUAGUUAACUAACAGUAGAUUAACAUUUGGCUUAAUAUAUUUGUUUUAAGUAUUCACAUGUUGGAUUUGUUUUAGUGCGUUGUGUGAUUUAGAAAUUUAAUUGCAUGAUAAUUAGUCUUAAUUAUUGAGUUAAUUAGAUUUAUUUUGCUUCAUUGUUUCUUGGGAUUGAUCCGUGUGAUUUUUUUUUGUUAUGGCUCAUUUGUAAUUAACAAAAACUAAAAGGUUUAAUUGAAAAUCAAAAAUAGGAAAUAUUAGAUAGGCAUAUAGGAACCUUCUGGAUAAUGGACAACUGUCCAAAGUUGAUAAGAAAAAGAUGCUGAAAAUUGGAUAAAACAUCUGAAAAGGAUAGCUGUACAAAAAUUGAUUAAAAAGAUGCUCUUGUUUCCUUUUUUUUUUACGGCUGAUAGACUCCCUUUGAUAUUCCUUCAUUCAUUUUUCUAUAUAUAGGGAUACAGACUGAAUUCUGGGGGACAUAUACUCACUCCCAUUCUCACUGAUUUCUCUAAAAAAACACUCUAAAAAAUCCAAUUGGAAUACAAAAAAAAAAAGAUUCAAAGUUGCCUUUUUUCUAAGUUCUCUACUGAAUCUGUUUCACUUGGCUGGGAUCUCGAGCUGUAUUCAAGCUUAAGAAACUGCUCGUUUAACUUAAAUUUUGUUGCUGUUUAUUGCUGGCUUGAUUUUCAUCUUUCAUCUUUGUAUCAUCAAAAGUUCAUUGGUUCUAUCUAUAGUUAUUAAAUUUGAUCACUAGUUGGUCAAAAUUUGAUGAUUGAGAAGGUCCAGGCAACGUUGAAGUGCAUCAAUUGAUAGUCUUGCCUUUCUAUGAGCAAUAAGGGGAAUCUAAGAAUUAUGACAGAGGCGUUCUAAUAUUUUAGCUGUUAAGGUUGUAUUUGAUAGAGUAGUCACUGUGAUGUACUAUUUUAUUUUUUUUUUUAAAUUCCAGUAGAUUCGAAGUUUGGUUUUUUGUCCCUUUUGUAAUAUGUUCAGUUUUGAGAGAGUAGUACCCUAGAUUGAUUUGACUUCUGGAAUGUAUGAAAUCUGAUUUGGAACUCUUAUAUUGCUAUCAUUGUUUAGUUACUCUUCAA